AUGGCCGGCACUGAGGACGCGCGCCGGCCGCCGGCCCUUCCGUGGACGGUACGCCUCCAGUUUGCGGCACUGUCGCUCGCGCACCGGCCGGACGGCAGCGUCCGGCGCCUCCUCUUCUCCCUCGGCGACCUCCACGCGGCGGCAAGGCCACGCCCGGACGCGUCGGGGGUCCGCUCUGCCGACGUCACCGUCGACGCCUCCCGCGGCCUCUGGGCGCGCGUCUUCUCCCCCUCGUCGGCAGCCGAUGCGCCGGUCCCCGUCGUCGUCUACUUCCACGGCGGCGGCUUCGUGCUCUUCACCGCGGCGUCCCGCCCCUACGACGCGUUCUGCCGCCGCCUCUGCCACGGGCUCGGCGCCGUCGUCGUCUCGGUGAACUACCGCCUCGCCCCCAAGCACCGCUUCCCGGCAGCGUACGACGAUGGCGUGGACGUGCUCCGCUACCUCGACACGAACGGCCUCCCCGCCGACCUUGCCGUCCCCGUGGACCUCUCCAGAUGCUUCCUCGCCGGCGACAGUGCCGGCGGCAACAUCACGCACCAUGUGGCUCAGCGCUGGUCGGAGAUGACAACCACCGCGUCACCAACAUCCCUACGCCUUUCCGGCGUCAUCCUGAUCCAGCCAUUCUUCGGGGGCGAGGAGCGGACGGAGGCGGAGGUGACGCUCGACAAGGUGGGGCCCUCGCUGUCGAUGGUGGUGACGGACGCCUACUGGAGGGAGUUCUUGCCAGAGGGCGCCACCCGGAACCACCCCGCCGCUCGCGUCUGCGGCGAGCGCGUCGAGCUGGCCGAGGCGUUCCCGCCGGCCAUGGUGGUGGUCGGUGGGUUCGACCUGCUCAAGGGCUGGCAGACGCGGUACGUGGAGGCGUUGCGCGGCAAGGGGAACCCGGUUAGGGUGGUCGAGUACCCCAAUGCCAUCCACGGCUUCCACGCGUUCCCGGAGAUCGCCGACUCCGGCAAGCUCGUGGAGGACAUCAAGCUGUUCGUCGACGAGCGUCGGCCUACGAAAUCGUAG
rnacentral:rRNA from 1 species